rnacentral:rRNA from 1 species
GCGGAUGAAUUGAAUCACCUUGGAUGCACCUGAUCUCAUUUUCUCUCGGAAGCUAAGCAUCUUCGAGCCUGUUUAGUACUCUGAUGGGAGACUGCCUGGGAAUACCAGGUGUUGGACGCU